AGGGGAGGCGCGGGGAGCUUGCUGCGGCUCCUCACCCGGACCUGGGAGAAGACGCCCCCCACCCUCUCUAGUUCGCCCUCUCCAUUCAAGUUUGCCGGCCCCUGCCGCCGAGAUCCGGGAAUGGCACCAGCCGCCCGCCCUCCGCUGUGCCCUGUUUCCAGCCACCGCUCAGAAAUUUAGGUCAAGGACGUCGGGAGCAAACCCACACCCUGGCGCUCCUUUGGCGGCCCCCGAGACGCCCCAGGAUCGGGGGGCUUCAGGAUGGCGGAGACCCUCCUGCACAAACACCAGCCACAAGUUUUAUUUUCCUUUUGCGCUGGAAGUUCUCUCUGGCUCUGGCUCCACACCGGCACGUCUUGCGCGGUUCCCCGCCCUUCCCCAGUAGAGGAUUAGGAGACAAAGGAAUACACUCAACACCAAAACUGAACCAAAUCCACUGUGGGCUUUGGAAAAAUGGAAUAUUGGGAAAAUCUCAACACCAGCCAUAGCCUUGAGUGACCAGACCCUCAGUCUCCCUGUUCCCUAAAUUGCAGUAAUUCCUCCUUGACAGGAUUGAUGUGGUGAAGCUCACUCAAUGUAGCCCCUGCAUCAGGAGAAUUCAAGCAGCACAAUAUCAGUCCUCAACCCUCUGAAAGUCUCAACAGCCCAAGACAAUGUUGGACACUUCCUUCUUCAAACUCAAUCUUCCAGGAUGGGUUUAAACACAUGGUGAUGCCACUCAAAUUGAAAUCUCCAGCCCCACCCUUCCUGAAGAGCUCCAGGCUCUGGUCAAUUUCCUAUUCAACAUCUCCACUUAGCCUUUCUAAAGGAAGCCCAAGUUCAAAUCCAUCUUUCUUGCUGCUGCAUCCCAGAUCUCCCACCUGAGGCCCUGCAACAGCUUACAAAACAGUCUUCCCACAUACACCCUUACUCCACUUACAUGCCUGGAAAUCUUUCCCAGACCUCUCUGACAGGGUCGAAUGCCCUUUGAUAUGCAGUUACCUUACCAGAACGUCCUCUGUGUACCUUACCCUGUAUGAUCAUUUGCUUUAUUGCCCAUCUCCUCUAAGCCAGAAGCUCCCGUGCCUUUCUGCUCUCCAUGUACUAGCACAGUGCCUGCUGGCGCACGGUUGACGCUCAAUAAAUAAUGAUUGACUGAAUGAGUGAGUGGAUGAAUGAAUGAAUGAUGGCCAACAUUUAAUUUCAUUCUAGGAUUCUUUUUGUAUUCAUGUUCAUAAGUCAAAUUGGCUGCAGUUUUUCCUUUUCUUACUGCCUUUGUCUGGUUAUACUGGUCUCAUAAAAUGAACCGGUAAAUGUUCCUUCUUUUUUCAUUUUCUGGAACAGUGUGUGUAAGAUUGGAAUUAUGUGUUCCUUGAAUGUUUGGUAGUUUUGCAGGUAAAUUGUCUGGGUCUGGGAUAGACAUUUCGUGGGUUGAUUUUUAACUACUGAUUCCAUUUCUUUAAUGCUCGUAGAUCUCUUCAGGUUUUCUGUUUUCUUCUUGAAUCUAUUUUUAUACACUAUGUUUUUCAAGGAAAUUAUCCAUACCAUCUAGGUUUUCAAAUGUGUUGACAAAAUGCUGUUCAUAGUUAUCUCUUAAUGUAUUUUAAUCUCUGCUCUAUCUAUCCAUAAUGUUUUUUUUUCAUUCUAAAUAUCAUUUUAUAUGUAUUUUUUCUUAUCUGGAUCAGCUGUGCCAGAGAUCUUUUUUUUUUACUAAUGUUUUCUUUCUACUUUCUAUUAGUGUUUCCAAAGAACCAGACUUUAGUUUCAAUAUUGUUUCUUUUUCUGUUCCAGUAAGUUUUGUUCUUAUAUAUUAUUAUAUAUUAUAUUGUUAUAUAUG
rnacentral:lncRNA from 1 species